GAUGAACGCUAGCGGCAGGCCUAACACAUGCAAGUCGAGGGGCAGCAUAUAAAUAGCUUGCUAUUUAUGAUGGCGACCGGCGCACGGGUGCGUAACGCGUAUGCAACCUACCAUUAACAGGGGGAUAAUUCGGAGAAAUCUGGUCUAAUACCCCAUAUUAUAUAUUAAGGCAUCUUAUUAUAUUGAAAGUUCCGGCGGUUAAUGAUGGGCAUGCGUUGUAUUAGUUAGUUGGUGAGGUAAUGGCUAACCAAGGCUACGAUACAUGGGGGGACUGGGGGGUUAACCCCCCACCCUGGUACUGAGACACGGACCAGACUCUUACGGGGGGAAGCAGUGAGGAAUAUUGGUAAAUGGACGAAAGUCUGAACCAGCCAUGCCGCGUGCAGGAUGACGGCUCUAGGAGUUUUAAACUGCUUUUUACAGGGGUAAAAUCGGAUACGUGUAUCCGACUGAAAGUACUGUACGAAUAAGGAUCGGCUAACUCCGUGCCAGCCGCCGCGGUAAGAC
rnacentral:rRNA from 1 species